rnacentral:tRNA from 1 species
GGGGGUAUUGCUCAGUGGUAAAGUGUGUGCUUAACAAGUGCAAGGUCCCAGGAUCAAUUCCUGGUAUCUCUG